UGAGUUUGAUCAUGGCUCAGGAUGAACGCUGGCGGCGUGCCUAAUACAUGCAAGUCGAGCGAACAGACGAGGAGCUUGCUCCUCUGACGUUAGCGGCGGACGGGUGAGUAACACGUGGAUAACCUACCUAUAAGACUGGGAUAACUUCGGGAAACCGGAGCUAAUACCGGAUAAUAUAUUGAACCGCAUGGUUCAAUAGUGAAAGACGGUUUUGCUGUCACUUAUAGAUGGAUCCGCGCCGCAUUAGCUAGUUGGUAAGGUAACGGCUUACCAAGGCAACGAUGCGUAGCCGACCUGAGAGGGUGAUCGGCCACACUGGAACUGAGACACGGUCCAGACUCCUACGGGAGGCAGCAGUAGGGAAUCUUCCGCAAUGGGCGAAAGCCUGACGGAGCAACGCCGCGUGAGUGAUGAAGGUCUUCGGAUCGUAAAACUCUGUUAUUAGGGAAGAACAAAUGUGUAAGUAACUAUGCACGUCUGACGGUACCUAAUCAGAG
rnacentral:rRNA from 1 species